CCCUUAGAUGUCCGGGGCCGCACGCGCGCUACACUGAAGGAAUCAGCGUGGCUUUCUCCCUGACCCGAAAGGGUUGGGAAACCCGUUGAAUCUCCUUCGUGAUAGGGAUUGGGGCUUGAAAUUGUUCCCCAUGAACGAGGAAUUCCCAGUAAGCGCGAGUCAUAAGCUCGCGUUGAUUACGUCCCUGCCCUUUGUACACACCGCCCGUCGCUACUACCGAUUGAACGGUUUAGUGAGGGCCUCGGAUUGGUCUCGGCCCGCUCUGUACCGGGCGGCGCCGUUGGUCGAGAAGACGCUCGAACUUGAUCGUUUAGAGGAAGUAAAAGUCGUAACA
rnacentral:rRNA from 1 species